rnacentral:lncRNA from 1 species
AAUUCGAUUCUAAGUCUCCAUGUGGCAAUAUCGGAGCAAAAGGGAUAGCGGGUGAGCCGAAAACCAUGGGCAAAGCCCGACGGAGCCGCGACGGUAAAAACCCUAAAACCUCUUCGAUGAGCCCAUUCUUGUUUUUUUUUUUACACAAUUUUUGACUAUUGUGUUCACCAUCCUUUUUUGUGCAGGUUAUCCGAAGAAGAAACCCCAAUCACAAAGGAGAACCGGUGGAGCUGCCGCACCUGG